AUGGGACCUGGUCACCACCGCACCCCAUGCAGUGGUAACAUUGCUGAGAGGAGUCCCAGAGUGAUGGCUUGCCAACGCCUGCCUGACUCAGUACCAGGCCCUGAUGCUGGAUGCUCCAUGAUCAAAUUCGCCCAAGAAACGACCCUCAAUCCGGCCACCUUACUCCCGGACUCCGACUCGUACGCAUGCCCCUCCAUGACUGUCUGGACACUGACAACUUCCACCACCAACCGCCCAGACCUGACUGAUGAGACCUUCUUCACCAAUGGAAACAGCUUCAUGGAAGACGGAGUCAGGACUGACCUCUAUGGUCCAGGACAUCAGUUCCACGUGUCAGGUGUGUGCACAGGUAAACUCCAAGGCGAGACCAAGGAACGAAGGUAAGUGACUACGGGGAAGAGAGCCAGGGGAACAUUGGGAACUUGAUUUCACUGAAAAAAAAUCCAGCAAUAGGUUCAAAUAUUUACUGGUAUUGGCUGACACCUACUCAGGUUGGGUAGAAGCUUUCCCCACUCCUGGAGAAUCAGCCAACAUAGUGACUAAGGUUUUGCUCCAGGAGAUAGUUCCCUGAUUUGGCAUCCCUCAUUACCUGGGGUCCAACAAUGGGCCUGCCUUCACGGCACAGAUAUCCAAAUUGUUGGCAAGGGCACUACAUAUUGAUUGGAAGUUACACUGUGCCUAUCGCCCACAAAGUUCAGGGCAAGUGGAAAGGAUAACUAGGACCCUGAAAGAAACCCUGACUAAAUAUGUUCUAGAAACUGGUGGUAGGUGGCCCGAUCUGCUUCCUCUGGCCUUGUUAAGAGUUAGAUGUACCCCACAUGUGACAAAUUUACCCCUUUUAAAAUCCUGUAUGGGAGGCCACCGCCACUCCUUCGUAAGUUAAACCUUGAACAGAUAACAGAGAGUUCUUGUGUCUCUUUACUUCAGUCUCUUCAAGCCUUACAGAUUCUUCAGCGUGAGAUCCAGGCUACAAUACAACAGACUCCAGAAAAACCCUUUGUGAUGUUCCAGCCCCAUGGUUUCAAGCCAGGAGACCUGGUCCUGAUAUGCUUGGUUUGCUUGCACCAAGGACUUGACUAAAUACAUUCCCAAAUCAGUCUUGGCUACCCAAUCUGCCACUCUAUUUUGUGUCACCGUGUAUGUUGUUCCACAAGUCUUGUAUUAUAAUGGAAAAGGGGGCCGUGAACAUCUGGGAUUAAUCACUGAACACUAUAGGAGUAAACAGGCUGCCCCGUUUUAGUGCCCAUUCUGGUGGGAUUAGGAAUAGCUGGGUCAGUGGCUAUUAGAACUUCCUCCCUGAUCCUUUAGGAAACAAAUUUUAAAGCCCUAAGCCACCAAGUAGCCAGAGAUUUGGGUCACCUGAAAGACUUGAUCUUCAGAUUAAAAAAACCAGGUUGAUUCCCUAGCUGAGAUGGUCCUGCAAAAUCAAAGGGGACUUGACCUCCUGUUCAUAAAACAAGGAGGGUUAUGUGUAGCCCUAGAAAAAAACCCUGUUGCUUCUAUGCUAAUGGUUAACUACCCUCAUUUCUGCUGUAACAGGCCCCCUAGUUAUCUUAGUUCUGGUUUUGCUUGUGAGACCUUGCAUUAUAAAUGCUCUGACUAAAUAUGUUAGAGGGUUGAUGCAGUUAAACUGAUGGUGUUGAGACAAAAUUAUGAGAUUUUAAAAGAUGUUUAAAAAAAAAAUUCAAAGAGUAAAUACAGGAAUCAAAGAUUUGAUUAAGUUACAAGAACCAGUAGGGAAUGAAAGACCCUAGUUAGCAAGACAGACUCCAUAUUGCUGCUUGACCCACCUGCCUGCCUUUUAGAUGAACUCAGAAGGAGGAAGCUUAGAAACCU
rnacentral:lncRNA from 1 species